AAGCACUUUGGAGGCCAAGGCGGGCGGAUCACCUGAGGCCCUGGGUGACUCAGUUCUGAUUCGCUCUCUUCCAACUCGUCUCUGCCUCCUUCUGAUUCCUCCAUUGCUUCUCCUCUGCUCCUCCUCUUGUGUUAUGAAAAUACCUCAACCCUGAGCUCAGCUCUUCCCAAAGCCAGCAGAGAGAGACUAUCUUAGGAGGCUGCCAGAGUCAUGUUCAUCCCAGACCAGGGCUCCUUCCAGAAACUAGCUUAGCUGGCUAGGGUCAGACAUGGAGAGAAAUGGCAGAAGAAAGUGUCUCCAAACUGUUACUGAUGGUUGUGAUUCCACUCGGGAUUUCCCCAUCUUUAAGUUCCAGGUGUGGGGCUGGCCGUUUUGGCAAAUGCUGCAUCCAUUGGCAGGCCCAGGACCCAGUUGGUAAUUUGUGCUUGGUGUCUACACGUAUUUGAAUAAACAACUUUAUUGCCAUAUAACUGACAUACAAUAAACCAUAUAUAUUUAAGGUGUA